UAAGUAUAAAUAUUUCUUUGUUUCUAUGUAUUAAACGAAGUGUUUUGUUUACAUCAAUGUCAUUUUUUUGUUAGUGCGCUGUAUGAUAUUCUGCAAGUUAUCAUUUUGAUUUAAGAUUCCCCUCAAGAUUCCUCAAUUAUGAUAUAUUGAAAACUAUAACCUGUUAACCCCAAGCACAUCUAUCACAUUUCCUACGCACGACACAUACUGCAGAUGCAAUAUUCUGUAAAUAUAUCCUUCAUUGUAGCUGAUAAAUUUGAUAUCAUUUCCUUUACUAUCAUAUUUUUUCUACAAAUUACUCUAAAUAUUGGUGGUCAAAUGCAUUUUCACGUUCUGAAUGUAACUAAAAACUGGGUCUGUUUGUAAAACAAAAAUGACAAAUUAUUUGGAUUUCACGUAAACCACUCUUAUUCAUCACACUAUUAUUCGUUAGUCAAUAAUUUUGGUGUUAUGUUCUUUUGUGGUUUUGAACACUGAAGGAAAUAACGGUAGAUAAAUGCACCAUAAAAAAGCAAGGAGUCUAGUAUGGAUUGUCGUUAUGAGUAAAAGUAAAAUGGUUAAGUGACUGUAAUAAAUGUGUUUGAUGAAAUUUCCUGGAUCCGGGAGAAAUACUGAACAUUACUACGAUUUCGUCUAAUUUGAGACCGAAGAUGUCAGAGACAAGAAGGGUUACUGGCCCCUGCACUAAAAAUAAAAUACACCAGUCAACGAAAAAGUUCGCCGACCAACAGGAAAUAUACAUUUUAUAUGGUAUCACAUCAGUUCAAACUGGCACGCGGUGGGCGAACUUUAAAACAGGUUUCUACAUCAUAAUCAGGCACCAUAAUAGAAUUUAAAUAUAUUCUAAUAACUUUUUGAUGACAAAAUCUCUUCGAUAAGUAUUGAAAUUCUCAUUUUUGUUUCAUUAUCCAAAAGACUUCAUUUCGUGGCGUUGAAGAUGCGGAUUUAGUUUAGUUUAGGGUGUCCACAAACGAAUGUGCUCAGUGUUGCGUGCUUAAUAUAGACUGACAUAAAACGUAUGCGAGCAAAUUGCACUACGAGUGGACGUUAAGAGAUAAUUAAAACUUGUCGCCCACUACAGAGAUUUCUACUCACCACGUUUGUACUAUACGCAAUUUACCCCUU